rnacentral:rRNA from 1 species
ACUACAAAGUACCCGUGAGGGGAAAGUUGAAAAGCACUUUGAAAAGAGAGUGCAAGAGAACGUGAAACCGUUAUAGUGGAAGCGGAUGGAGCCGACGUAUCCAGUGCGUAUUCAGCCGCCGGUGUGUCCGAGCUGCGGGACGGAAGUUCUGCAAAGUCUUCUCCCUGCAUCUUUGGCGCUCUGGUGGUGCACUUGCGUACAGAGUGCGCCGAAUCGGCCGAGCGCGCCGUUUGAAGCGCGCCAAGAGGACUCGUUUCGGCGAGAAACCUGGGCUCGCGGAUGGCGGAUGUGCUUGGYCGCAGCGAAGGAGCUGGUGUAUUCGUGGCAGCGGUCGGGGGUCGGAGUUGUUCGCGUACGGCACAUGUGUUUUGCGCUUGCGGCUUCGGUUCCGGGUCGUUGUUGCUCUGCUCCAAUUCGGUGUCCAGUCGGUCACCCAUUUGACCCGUCUUGAAACACGGACCAAGGAGUUUAAGGUGUACGCAAGUCAUUGGAUGUGAAAAUUCAAAGGCGUAAUGAAAGUGGGACACUCGGUGUCUGCGAUGUGAGCCGUGUGCGUUUCGACGCGCGUGGUGCAGCAUCGACCCAUGACUAGGGCUUGCUCUGUUGUGGAGU